GGCACAACGAUAACCGCAGGGUUCUGUGAACUCUUUCACAGCAGCAUCUUGGGAACACAGACUGGCUUCAGAGGGAUCGUUUGUUCUUUUCCCAGCACCACCAACACGUUUUCUUCAAGGAAACAAGUUGCUAAUUCCUCUGCCAGGAACCUGAUCAUUCAUAAGUAAAGCCUCUGCUAAAUAUUAAAGGAUGUUCAAUGACUAUGCCGGUGGAAAAUACAUUUUCUGCUGGACAGAGGCGAGUUAGAUUUUUGACCAACGCUGAGCAAAUGGUGCUCCUCGCUGAGUCUGACAGCAAUGCAAAGGGACAGAAGAGGAGGAGAGAGGGAACGCACGCUUUGUCUCUGUAACAAGGACUGAGGACAAUCGUCAAAGCUUAAUCCUCCAAACCACAAAGCAAGGGCACGAAGCCACCAAGAACAAAAUACAAGGCACACAACGAUACGUCUCUUGAGCGACGGGGGUUGCCCCUGUAAAUAAUCCGGCCGGGUUCAAGCAGUAGCAAAAGAGGUUCAACUGUCUCUUAAUCAUAGACGUUAGAGGUGGGAAAGCCACAUUUACCAGUCCCCACACCAGGGCGGGUUUUGUUCCACGCCUACAUUUAGCAGCAAGUGGAAACACGGUCAUUUGAUCAUUUGUUUUAGUGCCUUUAUGUUGGCAAAGAAAAUUCAGUCCCUUUUGGAAACCAAUGCACCGGGGAUGGAAACGGUCCGAGGCCCCAGCAACCCUCCCGCGGCUGCCCUACAAAGGCUGAACUAAUCAUUAACUGCAGAGGCAAAGCGAGGUCUGUUCCCUCCGCCCGAGCCCAGGCAGCAGCCGCCAAGGGAGAGGAAAGAUCUUUCUCAAACUCUCUUGUGUGUCACACAUUGGAAUAUAAGAACGGCCAUACGGGGUCAGACCACAGGUCCCUCUAGCCCAGUAUCCUGUCUUCCGACAGUGGACAAUGCCAGGUGCCCCGGAGGGAAUGAACAGAACAGGAUGCUGAGAAAUUGGAGAGAGCGAAAAAAGAGCCACAAAAUGAUUUGAGGGCUGGAGAAAAUGUCUUUAAGUCUCUCACGCCCCUCGACCUCUGCAGGUUGCAGUACCUCCAUGGCAUGCGCACACUGCAGCAGAAGCCUGGGUCAAUGUACCUUCAUUGACCUUUCCAAGAGGAAGUGUUUCUGUGAAGAACUGAUCGUUGAAGCUCUGGAGAGGGCCAACAAGCAGGUUCAGUAUCAAAGACCGAGGGACUUACGGCAAGAGGAAAGGCUGAGGCUGGCUGCACAGCUUGAGGAAAAGGAUUUCAGCGAGGGAACAGGAUGACAGAGCUCAGCAGAAAGAACAGUUUGAGCAGCUGCUAUCUCUAAUGGCCACAAGAGGACCAGCUCCAGAUGCAUCUGCACCAUGGCCUGCCUGAGUCCCUCUGUGGUUCCUUGUGCUGCAGCCCAGAAAUAGUUGGACAACUUCAUGGCUGGGUGGCCCAUGCAAUCAGGCCCUAUGAGCAGCUGGGCAGGGCACCUGUGCCCUAUACAAUCUUCCAUAUUACCCCUUCCCGCAUGGAUGCCUCUAUCCCUUUCCUUGGUGCCAAGUGGAUGGCAAAUGUGGAAGGAAGGAAAAGGAGAAUGGGGGGCAGGGUGGGGACAUGCAACAAUUGGGGGGUUCUGUUUAGUACGUGGUUUCACUGUUUGCAUUUGUUCAUGCAUUUUUUAAAAGACUAUAUUGUUACUGGUGUUUUGGUGGGGUAAUGGCAGCUGGGCUGCCUGGCAAUGGGUUAAUGUUGUACUUUUCUAAUACAU